rnacentral:lncRNA from 1 species
AGGAGCUGAGGUCAGGGUCCACCCUACAUUGAAUGAAAGAGGCAAGAGGAUCUGGAGCUGAGCACGAAGACAGUGUGAGGCGAGCCCAGGGCAGCUAGGCACCACAUGCCUGUAUUUUUCCUCUGCCACAGCCUCCGGUGAAGCCUUAACUCUCCUGAGGAUUUUCCACAGGGCCUACCCCAGUAUAUCCAGAUACGUGCUCACUAAAAGGUAUCCUCAAAGAAACAGAAGGCCUCAUGACAGAAUACAACUUUGUUUGAAAGCAGGGCCUUUGCCAAGGUGGAUCUUCCUGGUUCCUGAUUCACAGGACGGAAGACAGGGAAGAGGAAGUAAACAAGAACUGGCGAAGAGCUGGCCCAGAGGGUUGUCCAGAAAAAGCUGGAACUCCACUCCCAUGGAGCAAGUCAUCAUGCUAUGCCUUGGGCUCCAGAAGACCCUGACUGAAUACCAGAAUUGCCAGGAAGCCUCUGUAACCACUAGAGUAUGGGAGCCUGGGAGCUUGCAGUGCCCUGGAGCCUGUGAGACGCAUCCAGAAUUGUGUGGGGCUGCUGUGGGUGGGUCUUAGGUAGAACUGACAAGCCAGACACAUCCAUCUCUUUCUGCCACUCAGGGAGACCCAGGGAACUACAGUUCUCAGAAGAAGCUGAAGCUCCCCUAACAACCCUUCAGAUGGUUUGGCCCUGGCCAAGUAGAACAUUGUGAUUAUGGAGAGCUGGAGUGUUACAGGUCAAAAGCCAAAGUGAUCUUGGGCUAUCUUUAGUCCCAUGAAAAGAUAGACAUAUACUUUCAGCCUCUGAGUGUCACCCAAUGCCUCAUGACUUGCAUAAAACCUUUGGAAUGUAUGCUUAAGCCUGACACACCCACCCUCUACCAAGGCAAUGGCUAAGAAUGCGGCAGACACGCUCUGAAUCCUGUGGCAUCCCUUUCCCCGCCUUUCUGUGACAGCCUUCCCC